AAACAUUCACACAGAUUUAAAAUGAAGCGUAUACUUACUUGGAUUACCUCAGUUUCAUAAAGUAAUGUAUACUAAUUCAAAGGAUUGAAUGAGCCCUAAAGGUAUCAUUAAACCGAGUUCCUCACAUCGUCACACAUGGAAUGAAGAGAUGAUUUAACGAAGCUUCAAAUUAUCAACUUACAAAUCAUUGCUACUAAAAUUAUAGAAACCAGAUAAAGUUUCAUUUCAAAAUAAAAGAAAGGAUAUCAUUCAAUGAUUACAAUUCUCACGUAAUAUUCAGAACACAGUACGAUGUGCUUGCUUCAUCGGACAGGGCUUUAAGGGAAUAAAACAAUCACAUUGAUGAGAAAUUAGAAUCUAAAG